rnacentral:rRNA from 1 species
AUACGUAGGGGGCGAGCGUUGUCCGGAAUGAUUGGGCGUAAAGGGCGCGUAGGCGGCCCGGUAAGUCUGGAGUGAAAGUCCUGUUUUUAAGAUGGGAAUUGCUUUGGAUACUGUCGGGCUUGAGUGCAGGAGAGGGAAAUGGAAUUCCCAGUGUAGCGGUGAAAUGCGUAGAGAUUGGGAGGAACACCAGUGGCGAAGGCGACUUACUGGACUGUAACUGACGCUGAGGCGCGAAAGUGUGGGGAGCAAACAGGAUUAGAUACCCUGGUAGUCCACACUGUAAACGAUGAAUGCUAGGUGUAGGGGGUAUCGACCCCUUCUGUGCCGCAGUCAACACAAUAAGCAUUCCGCCUGGGGAGUACGGCCGCAAGGUUGAAACUCAAAUGAAUUGACGGGG